rnacentral:lncRNA from 1 species
ACCAAAAUGGCUGCCACGGCUAAAAAUAGAACAUAGGGGUAAAAUGCAGUUUUUGGCUUAUAACUCAAAAGCCGAAGCAUUUAGAGAAAAUCUGACAUGGGUUAAAUUGUCUAUCAGGUAUCUUUCUGCCCUCAAAUUUUUUAGUUAAUUUUUAGCAUUUUUCAUAAAUUUUUGUAAAUUUUUAGAAAAUAUUUUCCACUGUAAUUACUGGGCCAAGUUCAUUAUAGAUUGAGAUAAUUGUAGCAACAAGAAUGUUCAGUAUAGUAAGAUCUACAAACACAUCACCAUCACCAAAACACAGUUAUGUCAUGAAUUUAUCUGUGUCCAUUGUUUAAUAUGCACAUAGACCAAGGUGAGCGACACAGGCUCUUGAGAGCCUCUAGUUUGUUAUUAUCUUGAAUAUUAUUAUAGAUAGAGAUAAUUGUAGCAACACGAAUGUUAAGUAAGAUCUACAAACACAUCACUAUCACCAAAACACAAUUAUGUCAUGAAUUUAUCCGUGUCCAUUGUUUAAUAUGCACAAG